rnacentral:rRNA from 1 species
GAUGAACGCUGGCGGCGUGCCUAAUACAUGCAAGUCGAGCGAACAGACGAGGAGCUUGCUCCUCUGACGUUAGCGGCGGACGGGUGAGUAACACGUGUAUAACCUACCUAUAAGACUGGUAUAACUUCGGGAAACCGGAUCUAAUACCGGAUAAUCUAUUGAACCGUAUGGUUCAAUAGUGAAAUACGGUUUUGCUGUCACUUAUAGAUGCAUCUGCGCCGCAUUAGCUAGUUGGUAAGGUAACGGCUUACCAAGGCAACGAUGCGUAGCCGACCUGAGAGGGUGAUCGGCCACACUGGAACGGGGACAGGGUCCAUACUACUACGGGAGGCAGCAGUAGGGAAUCUUCGGCAAUGGGCGAAAGCCUGGCGGAGCAACGGCGCGUGAGUGAUGAAGGUCUUCGGAUCGUAAUACUGUGUUAUUAGGGAAAAACAAAUGUGUAAGUAAAUAUGCACGUAUUGACGGUACCUAAUCAGAAAGCCACGGCUAACUACGUG